GAUGAACGCUGGCGGCGUGCCUAAUACAUGCAAGUCGAGCGAGAAUCAGUUGAUUGGAGAUCCGUCAAUAAGAGACUGAGGAAAGCGGCGGACGGGUGAGUAACGCGUAGGCAACCUGCCCUUAGCAGAGGGAUAGCCAUUGGAAACGAUGAUUAAAACCUCAUAAUGCUGACAGAGCACAUGCUCUGCCGGCCAAAGAUUUAUCGGCUAAGGAUGGGCCUGAGUCUGAUUAACUGGUUGGUGAGGUAACGGCUCACCAAGGUGACGAUCAGUAGCCGACCUGAGAGGGUGAUCGGCCACAUUGGAACUGAGACACGGUCCAAACUUCUACGGAAGGCAGCAGUAAGGAAUCUUGCACAAUGGGGGAAACCCUGAUGCAGCAACGCCGCGUGAACGAUGAAGGCCUUCGGGUUGUAAAGUUCUGAUCUUGGGGAAGAAGAAGUGACGGUACCCAAGGAGAAAGCCCCGGCUAACUACGUGCCAGCAGCCGCCGUAAAAC
rnacentral:rRNA from 1 species